GGAUGAUCUGGCUGAGACAUCUGUCACCCACUGAUGGCCAGGAUUUAUUUGGCCUGUUAGGCUGUCCCCUUGUUCCCUUGUCAUUCCAUGUGCUGUGCUCACUCGGUCAGAGGAGGACAUUCAGAGCCUUGCAGCACCUCAGGAACAUGAUUGGGAGACAUUAGCUAGUACAUAUGCAGGUCUGUGGAGAUUUCUAGUUUGAGAAUGUAAACUAAAUAAAUUUACUACAUUUAACUUUAAAAAUUAUCCAUAUUCUUGUACUACUCCAGCAGUCACCCAGA
rnacentral:sRNA from 1 species